rnacentral:rRNA from 1 species
CGAACUGCCGUUGCAAAACGGAGGAAGUGGGGAUGACGUCAAAUCAUCGUGCCCCUUAUGUUCUGGGCUACACACGUGCUACAAUGGCCGGUACAGACGGACGCAAAGCCGCGAGGCGGAGCAAAUCCGAAAAAGCCGGUCUCAGUUCGGAUUGCAGGCUGCAAUUCGCCUGCAUGAAGUCGGAAUCGCUAGUAAUCGCAGGUCAGCAUACUGCGGUGAAUACGUUCCCGGGCCUU